rnacentral:rRNA from 1 species
UACGGGGGGGGCAAGCGUUGUUCGGAAUUACUGGGCGUAAAGGGCGCGUAGGCGGCCUGCUAAGUCGGAUGUGAAAUCCCUCGGCUCAACCGAGGAACUGCAUCCGAUACUGGCGGGCUUGAAUCCGGGAGAGGGAUGUGGAAUUCCAGGUGUAGCGGUGAAAUGCGUAGAUAUCUGGAGGGACACCGGUGGCGAAGGCGGCAUCCUGGACCGGUAUUGACGCUGAGGCGCGAAAGCUAGGGGAGCAAACGGG